rnacentral:hammerhead_ribozyme from 1 species
AUCCAGCUGGCGAGUCCCUAAUAGGACGAAAUGCGCAUCCUGGAU